UUAUAUGUACGAACCUCUAACCCCCCUCCCAAUCGUCUCUCUCAUCCCCUCUCUUCAGAGACUAGAACCCUAAUCCACCGCCACCAUUCCCCCACCGCCUUAGGGUGGUGACGCCACCUCCAAUCCCUCCCAAAUUAACAUCACAGAACCAUCAAGACCCCCUCAUACUAAAUCCACCAUUUAUCUCCCUCAAAUCCUCUUUAAACUCUUCGAAUCUUAAAUCCCAAAUCUGGGUUCUAAGAGCCAAAUCUAAACUUGGGUGUGCAUGGUGAUUGUUCCAACCCUCAUGAGUUUUAAAGCCGGUUUUGUCACGAAAUAGUAUUGUUCACUUGUUUUUAGCAAAGAACAAGUGACUAACAUUAUUUGGGGAUGAAGUUGGAGUGUCAGGUCUCGAGGUCGAGCUUAGCCGGUGAGUUCCAUUUCUUUUUGGGUCUGUUUCUAGUUCCAUUUUUCAUUUAUUGCCCUCUUCUUUCUUUUUCUUUUCCUUAUUUAAAAUUUCACCAAAUAUUUGGCCGAGUUUGGGACCUAUCCGUUUGAUCUUCGUUGGUUUUUCUUUUUGUUCAUUUUUCAAGACUGUCCUAUUUAAUUUGUUUAUUUUCUGUUGAUUAAAUCGCAUAAUUUUUGUUCUAAUUAGUCACCUAGUUAAUUAAGCCUAUAAACUAGUUAAUUUCCUACUGUUGUUUAGGUUAAUUAGUUCUUAAAUUGGGAAUCCUUGUUUGAUUUCAAUUGGACUCUGAAAAUCAGAAGCCCAAGAGGGAACUAAACUUGGGUUACAAACCCAUAUCAAAUUAGGCCAUUGGGCCAACUUAACCCAUGUAAUUUUCUGAGGGUAAUUUCAAGAGUUCAAGGGGGUAGUUUAGGAACUCUAGGUAGGGAAUCUUUGUAUAACCGAACUGGAAGCUUCUAGGAAGCUGGGGUGGGGGCAUUUCUGAAUUUCUGAGUUUUACACUAAGGAUCUUUAAGCUAAAAUGAAAAUUUCAGAAGGGUCAAAAAUGAAAAUCUGAUCCCUUAAGGCAGCUCUAAAUUCCUUGCACAUAAAGUCUCUCUAACUUGUCAUUCAAGGAGGGAUUAAGAGAAAAAAAGAUCAAAAAAAUUGAAGAGGCUGAGUUCUUUUUUUGGAAAAUUCUGAAUUCCUCACAAUAUUUGUUUAGAAAAAUUGCUAAAAGUUUGCUCAUUUUUGGAGUCGUCUGAUUUCAUUUGGUGAACAAAACUUCUGAAAAUCAUAGUUUCUCAUCUUGGGGUUUGAAAUGGACUGAAGUUGUGUUUUGAAAAAUUCUGGAUCAAGCUUUGUUAUGGGUUUACUAUUUCAUUGAAUUUUUGAGCUGAUCUCACUGUGUUUACUGGUUGAAUCUGGGCUAGCUGUUACUGAUCACUGCUGAUCCUUCAUUUUCUGUUUUAUUUUGCUUACUAGGUAUUUCCCUUCUCCUUGAUAUGUGAAAUGGGAGAACAAGAGAUUAUAUGAAUGAAUGGCAAGUUAUUUGAAUGAAGGAGUUUUACAAUGUUGAGAAUAGAAUCAUAUUUUGUAAUUAACUUAGUUUUUUAAUUAUAUUUGAUCCUCCUUAUUUAGUUGUAAGUGUUCUUUAUAAUGUUGGGUGAACUAUGAAUUUUAGCCCCUUGAUAUGAAUGAGUUCGAAUCAUAUAGUCUAGGAAUGGCUAUUAAAAUAUGGCAAAGAAAGAUUUAAUUCACAUGGUGUGGAUUUUGUUUUGUGAUUUCUGCCGAUGACUAGUUUUGUUCUAACAUCAAUUUCCAUUUUUGCAUCUGUUUAAAUGUUGAGUAAUGGUUUUAAGUUCAUGUUGACCUACUGGUGAGAUAUUUUUGGG
rnacentral:lncRNA from 1 species